GCUAAAGACGGGUGAGGAGGCGGGGUAAUACGGAGGGUGCAAGCGGUAUCCGGAUUUAUUGGGUGUAAAGGGUCCGUAGGCGGGCCUAUAAGUCAGUGGUGAAAUCUCACAGCUUAACUGUGAAACUGCCGUUGAUACUGUAGGUCUUGAGUAAAUUUGAAGUUGCUGGAAUAAGUAGUGUAGCGGUGAAAUGCAUAGAUAUUACUUAGAACACCAAUUGCGAAGGCAGGUCACUAAGAUUUAACUGACGCUGAGGGACGAAAGCGUGGGGAGCGAACAGGAUUAGAUACCCCUGUAGUC
rnacentral:rRNA from 1 species